rnacentral:rRNA from 1 species
ACGUCAAAGCGUAUACAAAGUCGAGUCGGUUUAAGGAUACGUUCGUUGGGUAGGGGAGCGUUCUGUAAGCCUGUGAAGGUGGCCUGUGAGGGUUGCUGGAGGUAUCAGAAGUGCGAAUGCUGACAUAAGUAACGAUAAAGCGGGUGAAAAGCCCGCUCGCCGGAAGACCAAGGGUUCCUGUCCAACGUUAAUCGGGGCAGGGUGAGUCGACCCCUAAGGCGAGGCCGAAAGGCGUAGUCGAUGGGAAACGGGUUAAUAUUCCCGUACUUGGUGUUACUGCGAAGGGGGGACGGAGAAGGCUAUGUUGGCCGGGCGACGGUUGUCCCGGUUUAAGCGUGUAGGUGUGUGUUCCAGGUAAAUCCGGUUCACUUUAACACUGAGGCGUGAUGACGAGGC